CUACGUUGAUAGGCUGGAUGUGGAAGCGCGGUAACGCGUGUAGCUGACCAGUACUAAUAGCUCAAUUGGCUUGAUUUAUG
rnacentral:rRNA from 1 species